GAGGCCUGUGUUGAAGAGCUUCACAAGGUCCAACAUGGAGGCCUGUGUUGAAGAGCUUCACAAGGUCCAACAUGGAGACCUGUGUUGAAGAGCUUCACAAGGUCCAACAUGGAGGCCUGUGUUGAAGAGCUUCACAAGGUCCAACAUGGAGGCCUGUGUUGAAGAGCUUAACAAGGUCCAACAUGGAGACCUGUGUUGAAGAGCUUCACAAGGUCCAACAUGGAGACCUGUGUUGAAGAGCUUCUCAAGGUCCAACAUGGAGACCUGUGUUGAAGAGCUUCACAAGGUCCAACAUGGAGACCUGUGUUGAAGAGCUUCAUAAGGUCCAACAUGGAGACCUGUGUUGAAGAGCUUAACAAGGUCCAACAUGGAGGCCUGUGUUGAAGAGCUUCACAAGGUCCAACAUGGAGACCUGUGUUGAAGAGCUUCACAAGGUCCAACAUGGAGACCUGUGUUGAAGAGCUUCACAAGGUCCAACAUGGAGACCUGUGUUGAAGAGCUUCACAAGGUCCAACAUGGAGACCUGUGUUGAAGAGCUUCACAAGGUCCAACAUGGAGACCUGUGUUGAAGAGCUUCACAAGGUCCAACAUGGAGACCUGUGUUGAAGAGCUUCACAAGGUCCAACAUGGAGACCUGUGUUGAAGAGCUUCACAAGGUCCAACAUGGAGACCUGUGUUGAAGAGCUUCACAAGGUCCAACAUGGAGACCUGUGUUGAAGAGCUUCACAAGGUCCAACAUGGAGGCCUGUGUUGAAGAGCUUCAUAAGGUCCAACAUGGAGACCUGUGUUGAAGAGCUUCACAAGGUCCAACAUGGAGACCUGUGUUGAAGAGCUUCUCAAGGUCCAACAUGGAGACCUGUGUUGAAGAGCUUCACAAGGUCCAACAUGGAGACCUGUGUUGAAGAGCUUCACAAGGUCCAACAUGGAGACCUGUGUUGAAGAGCUUCACAAGGUCCAACAUGGAGACCUGUGUUGAAGAGCUUCACAAGGUCCAACAUGGAGGCCUGUGUUGAAGAGCUUCAUAAGGUCCAACAUGGAGACCUGUGUUGAAGAGCUUAACAAGGUCCAACAUGGAGACCUGUGUUGAAGAGCUUCACAAGGUCCAACAUGGAGGCCUGUGUUGAAGAGCUUCACAAGGUCCAACAUGGAGACCUGUGUUGAAGAGCUUCACAAGGUCCAACAUGGAGGCCUGAGAGAGUCGGCCAGGAGGAGGAAUGUUAUCCGUAAGGCUGCAACAUUUCCCAUAACUUUCCCAGCAUCCUAGUUGGCACGAUUCCCGGAUCAUUUCCUUUCCGAUUCUGGGAAUCUUCCAAAUGGGAUUUUCUGGAAAAAUGUGGGAAUUUUUCGGAAAGUUA